GGAACAUUGAGAUUGCUAAAUUGUUUUCCAGUCGAUGAUAGUGGAGUCUCAGUUUCAGAGCUAAGUUCCAUACCCACUAGGACAAAGCCCCUUACUAGGCGGGUACCCCCACCGUGAGUCCCUGGAUUCUCCAUAGCAAGAUAAGGACAAAAGCUUGUGCAGGCUGUGCACUUUGUCUCAAGUCACGCGGGGUGGCUCGUGGCAGGGCUACUCAAACUCCAAGAUCCCAUGGUGGGUGAGUUAAUCUGACUUCGCCGUGACCCCUUGUUCUCCCCCUCCACUUCUCAAGGGCCCUUUUCACUUCUUCCUUUUCCUACUUUGCUCUCCCCUCUUUCUACCUCUUCUUCUUGACACGGGUUACUAACUUCUAGAUUCUGGAAGGCCCGUACCCGGGGAAGUCCUGUCCAUUAAACACAGGGCAGAGCCGGGACUUCCGCGCUCACCCCUCCGCCCAGUUAAUCAGCUACUAGAACCAGCUGCUGCGGGCCUGGGCACGUUUUCUGUUCCACGGCUCCCAGAACUUUUUUCUGUGCUUUAACUUCAAUAAUCUUGGGUGCUCCUGAAGGCUAGGCGCACACCUAAAUUGUAAAGCUUCAGAUGAGUUGAGUUCAAAGUUUUUAUUUUCUACUUUUAAAGCCCUCAAUAAAUUAGGGCAAAGGUAGCUGGAGCCCGGCCCCCUGCCCUGGCGUUCCUCUGGGGUUAUUGGAGUUGGCUCAGCAACCUGGCUCUUGGGAAACCAGGUGUAAGGAGACCUGGGUGGAGGGAUCUGGGGUUGUUUGUGGACCUUUCUCCUCCUCUGCGGCAUAUGCCAGAGUCUCUCGGGAGACAUCGGGCAGGCUUGUCACUGGAGGGAGUUGGUGUCGACCUGCCUUUGUUACGCAAGUCCCCGAAACAUGAACCGGUGUUCCUGGCCAGCCCUUGAAUGAGGAAGUGGGCCAGUGCUGUCUUCAGAAGGCCGCUGGCUAAUACUCAGAGCGGAGCUGAUCCUAAAUAAAGCAAGCAAUUCCCACUCUUCUCUUUCCCUUGUCUCUAUGUAGAAUCAUGCGUUUGUCCUAGGUCUCUAAGGUUUUUCACAUUUCCAACAAAAUAAGUUGUUUCUUUCUAAGACUUAUUUUAAAAUUUUAGUAUCAAACAAUAAUGAACAGAGUGAUUUUUUAAUAUAUAUGUAUAUUUUGAGUUGUUUAUGGACCUUCAUUUUAUUUAUAUGCAGUGCUGAGAAUGGAUCCCAGUGCCUCCCACAUGCUAGGCACGCUCUAUCACUCAGCUACAACUCCAGCCCCACAAAGAGUUUUUAAAGGUUAAAAAAAGAGAGAGAGAAAUACAUAUAUAUAUAGUAUCAAGUGUUUGGUUUUUCCCCUGGAACCCUGUCUACCUGCGUAUCCCCAGCUGCCAUAGCAAGUAACAAGCUUCUGAAUCCGUGACAUUUGGUGUAGUUUCCAGGUGGCUCUCACGUUUUCCCCAGGGACUAUGUAAAGACCUUGGGACGUAGUAUGUGGGGGACACAGCUGGGAACUUGGACAGAAAGAAGAUCUCUUAAACUGGCUUUGUUCCCAACCCCUGGGUUGCCCCCAAACCACACCACAAUCCUACUCUGGGAGACCGUCCAAGGUUCCCAGGGCCAAAAGACAAACACCUAAACCAACAACAACGAAAAAGUAAUGUGUAUGUGUGUGUGUGUGUGUGUGUGUGUGUGUGUGAGAGAGAGAGAGAGAGAGAGAGAACACACCAUGGAAAGAUGGCAGGUAGAGGACAGAGACUUCUUCCAGGAAGAAAACAGAGAAAGUGAACCACUUUCCAAAGCUAGAGGAAGGCUUUCUCACUCUGCUUUGUAAAGUGGUCUAAACCGAUGAGAAGAGAGGCCCAAAACAUGUUCAAGCCCAAAAUGGUGAGGAUAAUGUCAGCCCCAUGAGGUUGGGAGGAAGCUGAGAAUUGUGGAGCAUGGUGACACCAGCACUUCUCCUGCAGAACCGGGUCCUUCUGGUAGUACUUCCUCUUACUGGUCCCAAAGCACUUUGCUGAGGAACUGUCUCCAUUCAUUAUUGUGGGAAGAUUAGAGGCAUGUGGGUAACUAAGAUGGGGAAAUUCUUUGGCUGGAAUAAUUUGCCCUUUAUUCAUUGAGUCUCUCACCAACAUAGUGAACCCAUCUGGGUUGUGAACAGAUUGAAAGUUAUGGAAAAUGGGGCUGUGCUUGUGGCUCAGCGGUAGAACACUUGCCUAGCAUGUGCCAGGCCCUGGGUUCGAUCCUCAGCACCACAUAAAAGUAAAUAAAUAAAAUAAAUGUAUUGUGUCCAACUACAACUAAAAAAUAAACAUAAAAAAGUUAUGGAAAAUUAUUCAAAGAUUAUAUUUGCCUUUCCUCUUUUAUUAUCUGAGUCCGUUUAGAAAAACAGUAAUAUUAAAGUGGAUAACCUUUACUUGCACUCUUAUAAAUCAACAUUGACAUAUGCCCUUAAAAUUUUUUAAAAACAACUCUUAGUUACUUAAAUUAUGGUGUAAAAAAGAUAAUUUGCUGUAACCAGCAGGUCAAAGGACCAUUCACAGAAUAAGAGAUGGAUGAAUUGGACUGAGGGGUAAGUGUAAGCAAUUAACCCAAGUUUCUGAUUGUUUCUUUUCUCAAAAUUCUUUUUUGGCAAAGAUUAAAUUAUGCCAAAUAGCUAUCCAUUUUAUGAUGACAAGAUGAUCAAACUUGUCUCGCUAAACGCUUCCCUUCUUGUACAACUGUCUAAACAGGAUUUUCCCACUUAGCACCCUAUCAAUCCAGUUAUGUUUAUGCCACAACUUAGGAGAUCCUGUGUAUCAAAUAUUAAUAUUUGUAUAGUUAUUAAAGUAUUUGAUGGUGGGUUUCUGUAAGAUGAACUCUAAUGCGCCAAUUUUUAGCGUUAGAAAAGAGUCUAAAUAAAAAUUAUUUGUCUAGGGCUGGGGCUAUAGCCCAGUGACAGAACACUUCCUAGAAUGUUUGAGGCACUGUUUCAAUCCUUGGCACCAAUAAAAAUGAAACAAAAUAAAGGCAUGCUGUCCAUCUACAACUACGAAAAAAUUUUUUUUAAAAAUUUUUUCUAGCCUUUGGUUUGAUGACAUAUUUUAAGUGGUAUGUAUAAUAAAAGCAAUGCUUGUUAGAAGCACAGCAUUUUAACAAAACCUCUUGUAUUAUAUAGAAUAGUGGUUUUCAGACUGCACUUAUCCAAGGACUCUUUCCCAAAAUAUUAAAUAGAAAUCGAAUCAAUGAAAACAGGUGUUGUGGGAGCAGAAAGGUUUGCAAUCUCAACUCUCUAGAGGGCUACAAAAGCCAUUUUUGAGGACACCAGUGUUCUAGGAAGUUUGAAAUAAUGUUUACUAAAAAUUUAAAAAGGCACUAUUCGAUAGAUGACAUACUUUUAUUUAUUUAUUUAUUUUUGGUACUGGGAAUCUAACCCAGGGACACUUUACCACUGAGCUACAUUCCCCAGCCCUUUUUAUUUUUUGAGACAGGGUCUCAUUAAGUUGCUGAGGCUGGCCCUCAACUUGUAAUCCUCCUGACUCAGGAGUCCCUGAGAUUACAGGUGUGAGCCAUCAUACCUGGCCAUACUUCACUCUUUCAUCUAUAGAUGUAUAGUGUGUUUUUGUGUAUGUUUAUGAAAUAUCAUUCAAUAGUAUCUGAUUCUUAUCUUUAUCAUGCAUACUUUCAAGUUGUUAACUUUUGUGGCAUUUUAUGUUUGUGCAAUACACAGUUCUUUGUCUAUAAGUUUCAAAUUUAGAUUUUUUUUUUAAUCCUAAUAGUUGAUUGUUAAAAGACCAAAGGGGAUGCUAGACAAAAAUACAUGUGACCUGGGUAAAAUUAUUAGAUAAAUACUCCUCUAUAUUGUAGAAUAACAGUAGCAUCUUAAUAAAUGAUUGCCAAAUUGUGAUUGGGAUUCUAGAGACUAUUUCAUCCAAAACUCUGAUUGUUUUUUCCAGCCAAGAACACCAAGUUCCUGGAAGUAGAGGGAUGUCACAAGGUCACCUUGAUGGUGCUAGGCCAGAGCACGGUUAUCUCACACAUGAGGCACAUGCUUGUCCCUCUGCUUUAUGUACUGCUUUGUAUAAAUAGUGAUAUUUUUACAAUACUUGAAAAUACCAAAAUUGACUAUUGAAUGAAAUAAACUGAGUAUUUCUACAUUUGUUCAAGUUAAUCCAGUCUCGAACACAUUUCAAUCAUAGUCAGAAAGCAGGGAUUGUGUCAGAUUGAAGAUGACCUAAACAUCCUUACAGGGUUAGAUGUGUAGAAGAUGCCAUCAAGGGAGCCCAGCAUAAAGCACACAUGCGUUCAUGCCUUUGUAAAGCAGAGGUCGCACACGUAGGCAUGUAAACAAAUCAGCCAACGUGAGGCUGAGAUAUAUAAGGCUGCAACUUGGGUCUAUAGGAGUCUGACAUUUUCCACCUUUGGAGAGCAAUUUUCCCACGUAACCCCAAGAGCAGGAAUUAGGGUGAGAUAAUCCUAGAAACUGACCUUUUUUAAAAAUCCAGAGCAUGGACUGGGACUGGGCCUCAGUGGUAGAGCACUCGUCUCACAAGUGUGAGGCCCUGGGUUCGAUCCUCAGCAACACAUAAACAAAAAAUUAAAGUAUUGUAUCCACCUACAAUUAAAAAAAUAUUUUUAAAAAAUCCAGAGCAUUACAUCUUGGGAUAAAUGGAAAGAACUGUGAUUUUGGCCUAUUUUGUAUGUAUAAUCAAAAUAAGGGAGGUUUCUUGUGGUGUUUAUUUAGUAUACAAGUGUUUGUUUGUAUGCCACAUACAGUUUAAAAUUGCAUAAGUGGACACUUUAUAAGUCACAUGUCUCUAAACAUCAGAAUGUUCUCAUUUAACUAACUUGGAAUUGUUCAAGUUCUUUUGAGCUUUCAAGAGAAAUACUAGACAAGAAUUUGCUAUGAAUCAAAUUAAAACACUAAUUUUCAUUUUGGUUUUCUGGCAGCUUUGAUUCUGUUAGAGAAUAUUUGCUCCUGAAAUGUAAGUCAUUGUACACUGAAUUGAAUAUACAAUUUAUAUUAUAUUACAUGUGUCUCAUUGUUUGUAGAUGCAAAUACUUUAGUACGAGAGACCCCCAUAGGCUUAAAUGAGAACAUGGAGAAAUGGGCGUGUCCAUGGGUGGGGUUACCCAGCCGAGUCUCCAGUCUCUCCUGGGUCCUUUAAUGAGUCUCUAAUUGGGGGCUUACAUGUCCUUUAGUAUCAUUUGGCAAAUGGAAGAUAUUUAUCUUUGUCAAAAUAUCUGGGAUACUUGGGGCAAUAGUAAUAUUUUCUAUCUGGUUUAUUCAAAUUAUAGUAUCCAGGAUGUCCUUGAUUUUAAAACUAUAUGAUCUAUACAGUAUUUGAAGUCCCCUCAGAACACAGCUAAAAGGAUAUAUGUGUAUAUCAUAAUGCUUGCUCAACUUACCUCACAGAAUUGAUGUGAGGAUCAAAUAACUUUGAAAGUUGUAAAGGACACUGCAAACUCUGAACUGUUCACAUCUAUGGAUAUAGAUAGAUCUCUGAAUUACAUUUUAGCAUUGAAGUAAACAUGAACCGUUCAGAUGACUACUUCAACCCACUUCCAUGCUUUUUCUUUAGCAUCUUUAUUGAAGUAUAAUUUUCGUAACACAGAUCUAUUCAUUUUUAGUAAAUGUAUUCAGAUAUUCAGUCAUCACUAGACUCCAGUUUUAGAACAUACCCAUAACCUUAGAAGUUUCUCUCAUGCCCAUUUGCACUUGAUCCCUGCUCUUACCCCCACCCCAAGUAGUCACUGAUCUUCUAUCUCCGUAAAUUAGCCUUUUCUGGACAUUGCAUAAUGAAGUCAUGCAAAAGAGACCUUUCACAUCUGUCUUCUUUUAUUUAGUGUAUGUUUUUGAGAUUCAGGUGUCAGUCUUGGUUCCCAUUAUUGCUGCAUAAUAUUCCGUUGUAAGAGUAUAUCACAUUUUGUUUAUCCAUUCACCAGCAGAUGAAAACGUAGGUUGUUUCCAGUUUGGGACUCUCAUGAAUAAUGCUGUUAUGGACAAUCUUGUACUUACCUUGGUUUGAACAUGUGUUUUCAUUUCUCUGGGUAGAUUCCUAGGAGUGAACAGUAAGUUUAUGGUAAGUUCAUGUUUUACUUUUUCAGCAACUGCCAGUCAGUUAUACACAGUGGCGCUAUCAUUCUGCAUUCUUACCAGCAAUGUGUGCAGGUUCCAGGUUCCAGGUCCUCCAGGCUGUCCACAUGCUCACCAACACUGGGUGUUAUCUGUCUUUUUGAUUACAGCCAUCCUCGUGGUAUCACAUUGUGGCUUUGAUUUGUAUUUCCCAAUAACUAGUGAUGUUGAACAUCUUCUCAUGUGGAAAUUUUGCUGUUAGUUUAUCUUCUUUGCUGAAAUGCUAUUCCCAUCUUUUCCUUGUGGUUAAAACUGCCUUAUUAUUGAGUUAGACAUGACCUAUUUUUUUUUUAACCAUUAAUUGCCACCUUACCUGAUACUGACUUGGAUUCUCUCUUUCGGCUGCCUUCCACAUUGCUCAUUUCUAUACUGUUAUAUAACUUCUAUGAUACGUAUAUUUUCUUUUCCCAAAUGUGAUUUUUAAACUUCCUGUGGAAGAGUACUUUUACCUUGCAUAUAUUUUUUUAUAAACCAAAUCUAACAAAAUACUCUGGAAAUAGUACAUCUUCAAAAAAUAUUUGGCACACAUGAUUUUAAAAAAGCUAGUGUCUAUGUAAAUACUUAGAGCACCUGGUUUCACAAUUUAGUAAGUUUCAUUGAUUUUGUUUCUUUUUUGCUUAUUUUGUACAUCAGUGGCUUUAAUGUUCAAACUAUUUUCAAGAUAAAGGAGUGUUUCGGAGUAUUAACUUGGACAAACAUAUUUAAUUAUCAGAGAAGAGUUAAAAGGAAUUCCAAUGAUACAUUAAAAUUUAUGGUAAUUAAUAUGCUUAAAUAAAAUAAAUUCAGUUUUCAGGCCCUGUUUGUUUUCCUACAAAUGUCCCUGAGUGGCUUAAGAAAAAUGGUCAUAGUAUAAUGAAUCACAAAUGGACAACUUUCUCAAAUGUACCCAAGAGUAGGGAGAAAGCAAACCAUAUACCUUAGCUAUCACCAGUACUUUGGAACCAAGAUAAAAGAUUUUAAAUUAUAAAUACACACUUACUUAUGGAUAAGCCUGAAUGUAAACCCAAAAUACCUUCCCCUAUUACUAUUAAAUAACAGGAGGGGAAAAAAACAACUUUCUGAGCCUCACCUGGAAGAAUGCCAAAGAUAUACACUUGAGAAUAUUUUAAGGUAAUUAGCAUUUUUGUCUCUGUGUCAGUUAAAAUAGGCUUUUGCCUGCUACUAAUUUUCUUUGGGUUACUGAGACCAUUGUAUGAAUGAAGGGCUGUUAAAGGCCAUUUAUAUUGUGCAAACAGAGGCACAAAUUAGAGGGGGCAUGUUAAUAAGAAAAGGGGGCUUAUGAGUGCUCAAUUAUGAGCCCAGAACCUGUUUCUAUUUUAGAGGGAUAGAAAACACAUCAAUCUUGCUUUUAGAAUAUUUUCAAUUAAAAUGAACAGCACAUGGCACGCUAAGAGCCAGUGAAGGCUGCAGCCUUGUAGAUUUUGAAUAAUUCUUCACACCAUCUUAGUAUCAAAACUGAUAUACAUAUAAUGGGCUGAAAUAUAAUUUGAGAUCCCAGAAGACCAAGGUCCCCGAGCUGUAGAAGAAAAUCUAAAGGAAAAGAAAUAUAAAACUGGCCCAUCUGCUUCACUUCUUCAACAUGCAACCUUCAGAGAAGAAGGUUUGGAAGAAGGUGCUGUUGAAACACGAGCAGGGAGGAAACAGUGCACACAUCACAACAUACCAUUAACUCCCUCUCGCCUGAGUGUGAUCAAUAGCGUCUGCGAGCCCAGCUCUGCAUGCUAAAAACAAAGCUCCCUUCUCCUCCCCACACUGAGACAAUAGUGAGUGGGUUCCUCUCCAGCCCUGAGCAGCGCCUCCUGCCUAAUUGGGGUAAGCGAAGGGAGGCAUCCGCCAGACUGGAGCACGAUUGCAGAAUCUAAUUAUGGUUUGCACAGGCAAUGUGUGCUCAAAUCCAGUUUUGCCCCUGCAUUAGCCACUGCUUCCAAUCGCCUAAUGUCAUGUUUUGAUAGGUAGUUAGGAAAAUACUGCAAGGUAUUGUCCCUGCAGUUACCCUUUCUCCUCUGUGAAAUAACUGUUUUAGAAUUGUAGCCAACCAAGUUGCUAGAGUUCACGUUCAAGUAGCCAGUAGUAAUAUUCACAGAGUGAAAAUGCACAAAAGAAAACAGCAAAGGGUAGGAGAAUGAAGGCCUUCAGCAUCCGAGUGGAAAAUCCACCAGCUCUCAAUGCCACUCAGUAGGCCCAGGGCUGGACUUCUACAGGCCAGGAUUGUAUUGGACUCUGGGUCUUUCUGUUUCAGGUGGCGCUAGUCCUUUCUCUUGAAACCUUUAACUAUUAAGGCUGAAGGGCAUUAAAAGACAGAGGCAGGCAAAGAAGUGAGCAAUAGGAAGCCACAGUGAGUCAUUUGUCAAUGUAUCCUUUCUUGAGCUCUUGGGGGAAGCAGGCUUUGGGGUGAUGGGAUCAUGGGCUUUAUUUUGAAUUUGUUACAACUUUACAGCUUUCUUUAGGGGAGGCACACAGGUUAUGUCUGAGAUAAAAUGUCUGUUGCUAUGGAAAAGUUUCCACUUAGCCACUUUACAGUGUUCUGUUGGGGUCAGGGAAGCCAUUAUGGGAUAAAACAAAAGGAAAACCAUGUAUAGCACAUAUUUCAGACAACAGGGGGAAAAAUUAAAGGCCUAUUUCUAUUGUAUAUGUCAAGAAGCUAUUUUGUCUCCUAAGAUCCAUGGUUGCCUCUCACUGCAAAAGCUAAUGAUAAUAUUAUAGGUGUCAAUAACUCACACUGUAUUACUGACCCUCUUCUGGUAUUUCCAUCUCAAAAUUCAUCUCUGUGUUGCAUUUCUUAUAUCCAUCUGAAGGUCUGUGGGUUCAAGACAGCUGUCCCGUUGGCAUGUCAUCUAUUGUUCCUUCUUGGUGAACUGUAUGAUUGUGCUAUGGAUAUUUGCUGUUCAUGAGACCAGCACUGUUUGAAAUGGAAAAUGGAGACUGCCUUAAUAUAAUAAUCUUGGUUUUCCUUGAAAAAUGGACUUGUUCAGCCACAAUCUAAAACGUUCACAUUUUUCUUUCUCUUAAACAUUGACAAGUACAUCUUAUUUGUUUGGGGGUAUUUUUCACAGUACUCUGUUGUAUGGUGCUUACACACUUAUAUAGGAGGCAGGAAAGCACAAUGGUCAGAAGAUGCAAUGGGGACUGGAAAAGUCAGCCUUGCUCCUUAGGAGUAGUGUGACCUCAGACAGGAUUUUUAACCUCUUUAUGCCUGGCACUACGUCUAUAAGGAUGGAAUAAUAAUACUACCUAUUUUGCAGAGUUGAGGUGGGAAUUAAAUGAGACAGUGUUGGUGGUAGGCACUAGAGUUGUGUGUGGCACAUCGUAGAUAUGCAGUAAGUGUUGGUUUAUUGCCUCGUUGCAUGUCAGCUUCCUGAGAUUUUUACUCUUUCCUUUUUUUUCAUGAAUAUGCAGCCACUUGCUUAACUCAGAAGACCUUAAAGUAGUAGAGGUCUGUGUGGAAGAAUGUUUGAAAAAUAUGUGGGAAUGAGAGUCUUCCCAGUGUCCCACAAAGAGUACUGAGAAUGUAACUGGCAGCUACCCGACACCUGAGAGGACAACUUGGCCUUCAGUAUGUAGAAAUGAUAAUUCCCUGUUUACCCGCUGUCCCACUAAAAGCUCCAUCUUUUCUACACAAUAUAAAUGUAAAAGCAGUUUGUUUAGGUGUACAAGUUUUCCAUAUGUCCUUGAAAUCUCUGUUUACAUCAACAACUUUAUGUAGUAAAGUCCUCUCUAUUUACAGUCCUCAUGUUACCAAAUACAGAAAGAGGUUUAAAAUAAUUUAGAUGAUUAACCCCAACAUAUGCAAGGCUUUACCAGUAUCCCAAGUUUAACAAAUGUAAACAUACAGAAAAGCAAAGAGCUAAUUUUGCACAUCCCAACUGAUGCCUGAGGUUUCAGCCCAGACCUGGAACCCAUCGUCAGCAUUUGGCAAUUAUCCACGACCAGCAGAUCUGCUAUUAGUAGGACUGUUUUCUUUACUCAGAACAUAAUUUGGAACUGUCAAGUCAAUCUGGCUAAAAUUGAGUGGAAUUUUUUGUUCUUUAAAUGCUUUUUAAAGACUAUUUUAGUUAUAUACUAUCUCUGGUACAGUCAAAUUCCCCUAUAAAUAUUAUCUAAUUUAUUUUCAUAACAUCUCUAAGAGAUAGGAUGCAUUUGUCUUUAUUAUUAGCAUCUGGUGUGAGGAGAUUCACAUUUACUUUGUUGGAAAUCACCAGGAAUAAAUCUCAUGUAGACACUAAUGGAAAAUAUAAUAGGAGAUAAAUACAGGUAUGCUUGCAAAUGAAGAUAUUUUCCCACCUUUGAAAUCUGUUGACUAAAAAGAUAAAAAGUAGAACAACUUAUGAUGAUUGAAUAGUAAUAAAAAGCAGCAUUUAAUCUAAAUCUCUCCUUCCCAUGAUUACAGCAUACUAAAUAUUACUCAAUACUAGGGAGUUUGCUGAUGAGCUAUGUAAAUGUUUUCCAAUAAAAAUUAAAUAGAUUAGAUUUGGAAAGAAAAUGCUAUUUUGAAGACUUUUAAGUAGUCUUAUUUUAAGAGUUCUCCAAAAAAUGUAAUUUAAGGCCAUGUCCUCAUCUCAAUAGACCUAACAGAAUGGACGCCAUUAUUUCCAAAUGGGUGGAGUAGGCAGAAGCAGCCGUGAUGUUCCGGAAGCUCUCAUCAUUUGUGAUCCUUUAUUGUUAAUUCUCUUCGUGUAUUCUGCCUGCUACUUUGUUUUGGUUGUCAAAGUUUGUUACUGAGACAAGACUAGGAUCACCCUGCUCUGUCAGUCUCAGAUUGACUUGAUAUGACGCACCAUGAGGUGAGUCUAAUUGCUUCUAAUAUUGGAAGGAUGAAUGGUCCUAUCAAAAGAAGACCAGUUAUAAAAAAGCAAGUAAGUGGAGGCAAGUCUGGGUUACAUGACAGAAGAACCUCUUGAUGAGGGGGAAACCCAUUAAUCUCACAGGGGACAGCACCUUGCUUCUAAUUUGGCACUUGUGAGCAAGACUGUAGUCACAGUAAAUCAAAAUGCAAACAAUUUUCCUGAUUUGUUUACAAACUUAAGUAUUAGGUUUUCUUAUAUAUGGAAAAAAGAGAUCCUACUGAAUUCUAAAUUGUUAGUAGAAUACCCAAAUGCAAUGCUAGGUAGGCUGAUGGGAAAAAUCUUCAUCUUGUUCCUUAGGUAUCAUUAACCAGUCAAAAAGAGGUAACUCUGCAUCAGUGGAGAGCACAGCACUCUGACUUCUCCAACUCCAAGGUGCCUGUGCAUUCUCGGGAUCUAAAUGAGUUGCAGACUCUGAUUCAGAGGCUCUGGGGUGGCGCCCAAGAGGCUGCACUGGAGGAGCUCCCAGAAGAUUCCCCUUCUGCUGACUCAGGACCACUCUUUGAAAAGAACUCUGAACAAUACAGUGUAACUUAGUUAGUCAAAGUUUGGAACUGAUAAAGACUCAUGACCAUGCUGAAGAUGCCUGGAUGAGGAGGCUCCAGUGUCACAGACACUAAGUGCCACCUCUGCUCUCUGCGACAGACCUCUGAAGACAGUGAUAACAUGCAGGGAUUUCUUUCAUCAGAGCUAAGUUCACUCAUGCGAGGCUCAUCAUUUUAGGAAACUGAAUCGCAUCAGUAUAACAAAACCCAAGCCAUUUGCUCUGUAAAUGGAGAGAAAGCAAAUGUAGAAUUUCAAGGACUCCCUUAAGGACAACGGUCAUCACCAGUGAGGCUGAAGCUAAAAUGAAACUGCGUGGAAAGGCAGGAAAUCUGAUUCCACUGGCGCUUCAUGAGUGGCCUCCUUCAGUCCCUCCCUUCUUCGUAGUCCUAGUUAUUGGAGGGCACAGGAAACUCGGAGACAUGCUGUCUGUCCAGUCGGCUUCACUACUUGAAUUCACAGUGCCUUGGCAGAGAGAGCUUUGUGUGUCUCCUCCUUCAUCCACCCACAGACCAGCUGUGAAGAGAGCACUGUAAGGAUCACAGGGUGUGCACACCUUGUCCAUUCAGGUCUGUGCCAGGACAUGCAAUUUAUUGGUGGUUAUAUACUAGGAGGAUCAUCUGACACCCCUCAGCCUGAAGUCUGGUGUUCUGGGCUCUUGAAUGCAUUAAUCUUAAUCAGACCUCAGAUAGCUGAAUAGGAAGGAGAACAUUGAAUUGCUUUGAAUAAUUAAGAGUGCAUUCGAGUUGGAAGAGCUUUAAAUGAGGAAAAUGUAUUUCAGAAACUUAACUCCUUGCUAAAUACUCUGAACUUGAGGUGAUCACAGUCUAUCACUUAUUCUUAUUUAUCUGAUAGGUCUGUAGGAAUAGAAUAAAACUGAAACACACUUACUUGAACAAUCAAUAGGAAAACUAUAUGGACAGUAUGUGCAUUAAAAGUUGAUAUAGGGGGCGGCUGGGGUUGUGGCUCAGCGGGUAGGGUGUUCGCCUAGCAUGUGUGAGGAACUGGGUUCAAUCCUCAGUACCACAUAAAAAUAAAUAAAUAUAUAAAAUAAAGGUAUUAUGUCCGUGUACAAUUUUAAAAUUUUUUUUAAAAAAGUUAAUGUAGGUAUGGUGAAUGUUAUAUCUCUAAAAGUAUACUGAAAUAACAUACAUAUAUAUCUAUAUCUAUAUGGUACACCUAUAUAAUGUGUAUAUAUGUAUAUGCAUACAUAUACAACAUUAUAUAAGCAUCUUAAUAUCUCUCUGUGUGUAUAUGGAAAUGUGUGUUAAGUCUGUUGUCUCUGAAGCCAGAAUACAUACAUAUAUCACACUGAUGUCCUUAUGUCUGGAAAUAAGAUCCCUGAUGACCAUUUCAUAACAUUAUUGAAGGCUAUUCAUUCUAAAAUGAAUUUAUUCUCCCACCUUACAACAUAGUCUUUAAAAAAAUAGUUGUAAUGGGUUUAUUAACUCUUUCCUCAAGUAAUUUACUUGGCCUACUCUUAGAAGACAAAUUUACUUCUAUAUUUUAAUUAAAAUAUCUCUCCCUGCCAGGACACACAACCAGAGAGUGUACAUGGUAAAGAAUGUGAAUGAGACUCCCUUCCUACUUAAAGUGCAUGAAGGGAUGGAUAAAGCAACCCAACCAGCUGCCCACAUAUCAGGAGCAAGGUGGGUUGUUGGCACAGCUGAAACAAGAAGUGCUCAUGCUCUGCGACCGACCCCUGGGGUGCAGCAGGGGAUAAAGGAGGGGGAUGGUCGGGAUGGGAUUACACGGAGAGAAAUAGACUCCCUGAAACCAUCGGAACCCAAGGAAGGAAGUUUGCUUUUCAUUGAGCCCUAGGGCAGACACAGGUUGGGGAAGUCUAAGGGCAACUGACACCAGACUGGGCCAUACCUUAAGAGCUCUGGAUUUAUACUAUUCUCUUGACAAGCUGACCGUAAGUCCAUUUUCUUGGAACAAAUUAACAUAAAGAUAGGUUUUUUAAAAGGUAUACAAGUUUGAAACUAAUAAGGAUCCAAAGAAUUAAAUGUAAAAGUAUUCUGGGAGGUCACUUUCACAACCUUUGGGAUUAGAAGCUGCCAUAACAAAAAUACCACAGACUGGAUGACUAAAACAAUACAGGAACUUACUUUCCCAGAGCCUUGGAAGCUAGGAAGGCCAAGAUCAAGAUGUCAGCGGGUUUGGUUUCUCCUGAGGAUUUUCCUACUUAGAGGGAGUACACGUUGCUGUAUUUCACAUGGCCUUUUCUCUGUGCGUAGCACCUUAUGUGUAUUAUCUUUUUAUAAGGACACCAUGUCAUAUUGGAUUAGGACAUCACCCUUAAAACCUCAUUUGACCUCAAUUACUUCUUUUAGGGCUCUUUUCCAAGUUCAGUUACAUGGACUAUUGUAUUAGAUUAGGCAGGAUCCUUCAAGAAAUAGAAACAGUCGGCAAUUUAUCUAUCUACUAUCCCUCUUUUUCCUUCUCUCUCUCUCUCUCCCCCCAUCUAUCUAUCCAUCCACUCAUCCAAUAGGAGAUAUAUAUGCAAAAAAUUUAUUGUAAAGCACUGAUCCAUGUGAUUAUGGAGAUUGAGAAAUCCUACAACCUGCCACCUGUUCACCAGGAGAACCAGGAAGAAUAGUGGUAUAGUUCGAGUGCCUGAGAGUUGAAGAACCCAAGGUGUACAUUCCAGUUCAAGUUCAAAGGCCUGAGAACCAGGAAUACCAAAGGCUGGAAUUGAUAUGCCAGUUAAAGCAAUCAGGUAGAGAAAAUCCAAUCUUCCUCCACUUUUUUUUUUUUUCUCUUUAGGACCUCAAAAAAUUUGUCGAUGAUUGCUCACAAUGAGCGGCCCUCUGCUUUACUGAGUUCACCAAUUCAGAUGCUGAUCUUUUCUGGAAACCCUCACUCAUCCAGUAGGAGAUAUAUAUAUACAAAUACACUUAAAAACCAAGUUAAAUUAUCCAUUUGGGUAUCCCUAGCCAAAUCAAAUUAACACAUAAAAUUAACCAUCACAAGCCUUAACAUAUAAAUGAGGUGGAUAGGAAACAAUUCAGUUUGUAAUAGAAGACUUUGGAAAACAACUGAAUCCACUGAAGAUGAAUAUGUAACAAUCACACAAUCACACGAAAUGUUAAAAUACAGGAGGAAUGAAACUUUUAUAAAAGGAAGUGAUCAUGAUCAGAGGCGAAAAUCAAGAGAACUAAUACAAAACAACUACAGAUAAUAGAACAAAGAGACACUCUAAAAUAAAUAUAAUUAAAAUAUGUAAAGAGAUUUUUUUUAAAUGAUAACUAAUGAAACCAUAUAACACUAUGGAAACAAGGAACAGGCAAAUUUGAAAAGAAAUGAAGAAUGCCUAAAAGUGGAAAUAUAGUCCUUAACCUCUCAGUGGGCAGUUUAAAUAGCAUGUUAGACACAUCCAAAGAGAAAAUUAGAGAACUGGAAGUUAGUAUGAGGAAAUCGCCUGUGAUGAAGUACAGAAUGAGAUGGAAGAGAUGAAAGAGUGUCCAGAGAUGAGGAAAAUAGAGGUACUAGGAGAGAAUUAGGAAGAAAGUAGGAAAUAGGCAAUAAUCGAAAAGAAAAUUAAUUAUCAUUUUCUAUAGUGAAAUAUAGAAGAAUCUAAAACUUGUAUAAGUACACUGGUUCCAAAGCAGGAAAAACAAAGAUAAUUAUAUACUUAGUUUGAGAAAAUUUCAACAAUCCCAAUGUUUCCCACAAAGGAAAUCUCAAUAAAUAACAUAAUAACUGGUUUUUAUAUAGAACACAUUAUCUGUUUAUAAUGUAGUCAAAUUAGAAAUAACAAAAUAUUAACUGAUAGGAAAAUGAAAAUGACUAUACUCUCAAUAAAAAAAAAAAGAAUCUGAAAAACACACAUAGUCCGAAACCUAUGUGAUUCCACUUUUUCCACUCUAUAAUGAGUUUAUUUGGAUAUAACCCCUUUGUAAGUGGACAAACGUCUAUAUUAAAGCAUACUUGAAAUCUCCUUAACUAUUUCUUUACCUUGAUAUAUAUGAGAAAAUAAACUUUUAAGAUAUUUGGUGUAUAGUUUUACCUGAUUUUUUAUAGUUCUGGUUUUAUACGUAGAUAAUUUUCCUUUGCCUCAAGGUUAUUCCUGAGACUUUCCUUGGCUUCUGAUAUUGAUACUAGAAGACUAUCUUUUGUUGGUACUUUAGAAAGUGCUUUCACAUAUAUCCUGUCAUCAUCUAAUUCCCCUCUUGGUAAUGUAAAUGAGAGAUGCCUUUGUGACAUCCUUAACUUAACUAGCAUGCAAAUCACUUAACAAUAUGCAAAUGAACAAAUACCGCUUGAGUCAGAAAUUUCUUGCCAAGUGAUUUUUACUUCCUGUAACAGCAUAUAGAGACUUCAUUCAAGUAUCCCAGUGAGCAUAGUCUUACAGUGGAAAAUUACUGACAUUAAGAGGACUGAGGAGCUGGAAGACAUUAUUCUCCCACUGGUAUUAAGUAUUAGAUAUAUUUCAAAACAGAUUUGUUGAUUCGUUGAUUUAAGAAAAACUCAGUCUGAGUAGUCCUAAAUAUUUGAUAAUGGAAUAUGCAGAGAACACAUAAGUAGAAAAUCUUCUUCCCCCUUAAAAAUCUAUGAAAAUUAAACAGACUUUUAAGCAUUUAUGACUUUUUCAUGUUAUUGAUUAAUUUUAAAACUGAUAAUUUUUCUGUUUAAAAGGUAAACUGAUGAGGAUUAUGUUCAUGUAGUUUCUUUAAUUAAUAACCCUCUCAGGUGUGCUUUGGGAGGAUUUUCAUCUCUGAACAUGCUUGUAGUUAAAUUCUGGUUGUUAUGCCAGGAAGGAGCAAAUAAGUGUUUCAAAGGCCCAACAGCAUUUCCAAGUCCAGGCACAACCAAAGGACAAAGCAUUCCACAAAUAAUUUUCUCAAUUAUUUAUUUUUGUUUUUUGAUAUGUUAUUGAGAUGUCAGCUGCCCUUUUCAUUGACAGGGUCCACCUACUUCUGAAGCCUACCUUGACAUAAAUCCUUUCCACAGAAAUCCCAUGAGUUCAAUGUCCUUAAAGAUUCACUAGAGAUUAAUGGUGGGAUCCUAAAGGGCUACCUUCCAACCAAGCAAACAUUCCCCCCAAGUCCCACUGAACAUCUCUCCCCUGGGUCCCUGGCUAUCAGCUGCAACACAGCCUCCCCUGGAAGAUCUCCAUUCUUCUUCCUCCAGAACUUUCUCCAGCUGCCCUACAUCACCGUCCCAUUAAGCAGAGCAAUUUAGUCAUCCAACCUUACCUUUUCUUAUCCCAGAAGCUAGUAAAUGGAGGCCUUCCACCUGCAAGCACUUAUCUUGGAGCUAGGAUUUUGGCUCAGCAUAUGUGAGGCCCUGGGUUCGAUCCUCAGCACUACAUAAAAAUGAAUAAAGAUAUUGUAUCCAUCUACAACUAAAAAUAAAUAAAUAAAAAUUUAAAUUUAAAUAAAUAAAUUAAAUUAAGGUAUUGUGUCCAUCUACAACUUAAAAAAAAUUGAAAAAAAAAAAGAAUUUAUCAUCACAGAGAAAUGUGGUCCACAACUAUAAGAAUUCUGUUACCUAUGAAAAUCAAAAAAUAGAUUUUUUUAUUAAACUACCUGUACUGACAUGUUCCCCCAAAGCCAUCUUUGUGUUAUGAAUAAAUGAAAAUGUAAGUGGGGUAAUUUCAAAAUAAAGACAAUCAUCAAGCAACAGAUUGGUUUUACUCCCAAUCUGUUAAACAUACCAUGAUUAGAAUUUGAAUUUAUUUUAAGGUAUAAGAAACUUCAGAAUUAAAUCUCCUUGGACAUGGGGGUUCUGAGCAGUUUCAAAGCUCAGUGAAACUAAGUUUCUGCAGUCUUUAGAAAGUCUGGUAUCAUUUUGCUCAGAUUUCAAAUGCUUUUUAAUGCAGUUCUCAUAAUGAAUCUCAACAGCUGCCCAAUCAGUAUUUGUUUAAUAAGUGAGGAGUCUAUAUAUGUUGUCACCUGUUUGUUCCUUGAACCAAUAGUGUGCCUUUCUCUUUACUUAGUCAAAAACAAAAACAAAACACAUUGAUCUCCAAGGGCAUAAACAAGAAGGAAAAAUAAAUAUAAAUAAAAUACAUAAUACUUUAUAAUAAAUCUACUUUAAACUAUUAAAUAAUGUUUGAAGUAAUCUUACUUCAUUUAUAUUUAAAAAUAAACUAAAAAUGGUAACCUAUCAAUGUUACUUUCUCUGUCUCUCUUUAAUUAUAUUAUAUUUAGUCUCCUCACCUCAUUAUUAUGUUGGCAAUUAUAUAGCUUCUUUAGCCUGAGGAAUUAUUUAUUUAAGUUAUUCAACUAAUUAACUAAUUGAUGAGUUAAAAAAAAAAGUAAACCUUGAGCAUCUAAAACAAUUUGAACCUGAAACAAUGAUUUGCAAACACAGUUAUAUCCUUUUAUAAUUCUAGAAUCAUAAAUUCAUAGGAUUUUAAGACCUAAAUUAAAGCAUGAUAUGAUUUCAGAGUAUUAGAAAAAUUAAAUUAUUUUAUUUUCUACAAACUAGCACUGAGUACUUUAUCCAGCACCAUUGCUACUAAUUUUCCUACUCUAGCUAUUCAGAGAUGACACUUUGCUGAGUGUUAGUUCAAGAUUAAAGCUAGAUCAAGGUUAAAACUCAGCCUCUGGGCUGUAGACCUAGUUCAGAGGCAGAGCACUUGCCUAGCUUGUGUGAGGCCCUAGGUUCCACCCUCAGCACCAAAAACAAAUACUUUGACUGCAAAUAAACUGUGUUCCCAAUGAUCUGAAUGUCAGCAGAGGCUUUCAAUGAAAUUGUGCAUGAUCAAAUAGUGAUUAUGUCUUACGUCAAGCCUUAGUCCCCUCAAAAAACACAACAUUUCAGAAGAUACAUAAGAUAAUUUGGGAAAGAGGGUAUAGAUAAAGAGAGGGAAUGAAGAAUAUGUCUUUCAAAGAGGACAUUAUGAGGAGACAAUAAAAAAAAUUUAGCAAAGUAAUUAAGGACAAAGUUCUGAGCAAACCUUGAAAUCUGCAUGAAUGUUCUAUGCUUCAUAUUCUUAAUUUAUUUUAUUCUAAAGGUUUCAUGAGACAUGAAGAUGGUCAUCAUUAUUCUCUGACUUUUCAUUGUUCUUUCCUAAUAUUUUUCUUCUUUUUGAAAUAUAAAUCUAUUUUUGAGGUAAUGACUAUGUAUUAAAGUUACAUCAAACAACUAUCUGAAGAUUAAAUCAAAUAGAAGAAUGCACUUUCUUUGGAAAAAUUGAUUAAAUUUGGUUUCCCUAAUGAGAGAUUUAAAUAGAAAUGAUUUUAAAUCAAAUUCAUCCUGGAUAAGGGGUCUACUGGCAAAACUAGAAACAUUCUUUUAAGUAGAUAUUUAUUACAUAUUCUUGGAAAAACAUUUUUCAUACAUAUGACAAGGUGUUAUUUCCUUAAUAUCCAAAUGUUCUUGCAUAUUGAUAAAAAAAAGUAAACAAACCAAUUUAAAAAUAAUAGAGUUCUGUUUGUGUUGAGGUGGAGAGGAAGCUGACCAAUGAACUUAUACAAAGUUCAAACUCAUUUAUAAUAGAAGAAAUGAAAAUUUCUAAAAUUGAGAAAUGAAUUUUUCUCUUUCAUAUUACCAAAGAGGAAAACAUUUGUUGUGUUUUGGAAAUCUGCCCUCCCAGGUACCUUCAGUAAGAGUGUAAAUUGAUACAACCUUUUUAGAGAGCAAUUUGGCAGGAUGUAUUAAACUUUAACACAUACAUUUUACUUGUAAAUUUAAAUAACACAUCCUUUGAUCUUCCAGUGCCAUUUAGAAUUUUCUCCUAUACUUUUUUUUUACACACUUGAUAAAAAAAAAAAAAAAUCCUUGCUAUAUUGUUGUAAAUAGCCAAAACCAGCUGAAGUCUCAUCAGUAAGGAUCUGGUCUCUUCCAUGUAAUACACAUCUGUGUUUGCACGCAGAUGCUUAGAAAAGGGAACAGAGCUGUAGGGAAAGAUGUCCACGAUACUUGUUCUGUGCUAAAAAGAAAUAGUUUUGUCUAAAAUGAAUAAAUAUUUAGCUGUUUAGUGGGAGAGUCAGAAGUACUUUUACUUUGUACAUUAUUCUGGUCUGAACCAUUCUUUUCUUUCAUUUUGCUUUGGUUGCUCUGUUUUGUUUGCUUGUGUGUCAGAUGCUAGGAGAAUGGAUUAUUUUAUAAUAACUUAUAGCUAGUGAUGAAUAUCCUUCUUAACUAUAUGCAGUCGCUAUUUUCUUUCAAUAUCCUGAAAUCUUCACAGCAACACACCUUCUAUUGCUUUCUCCAAGAUCAAGAACAAGAUUAGGAAUGACGUCAGAGCCUUUUUUUUCUUUUCUCCUUCACAGCAUCUCUGGUGGAGAGACUCCUUUUAAGACUUGAUUAGAGAGAUUAAGGUGACUCCAAGGUGGGAGAAGGUGCAUAAGGAAAUCUACAUCACCACCAGGUCUGAAGGCCAAAGUCUGCUUUAAAAACAAAAGUUCAAUGUGUAUGUACAUGUGUGUAUGUGUGUAUGUGUGUUGCGAGUGUGCAUUUUUUUCCCUUUUCCUCUCAUCUCACAUUGUCCCUCUUUGCAGCCAUUAAUUAUAAGUAGGGGAAGGCAGAGAAGAAUGGAAGGCACAAAAUUAAGUAAAUAUUCUGAAACUCUCUUUUGUAAGGUAGGUCCAAUUCCAACAACGCUUCUAAUUCUAAAUAGCAGCAACAACAUGAAUCAAAAGUAUUUUGCUUCACAUCAUGUAGAUGUCAGUUAGAAGUUGAGAAAAAAUGAAAUAUUCAUGCUACAGGAGAGUGGCUUUUACAGGCUGAAAAAUAUCUGUGAUACACUUAGAAAUGCUUAUUUCGAUGACAUUUUCUGGUAUUAGACUUAAUGCACUGAAAAGGGACUAAAAGAGAGAGAGAGAGAGAGAGAGAGAGAGAGAGAGAGAGAGAAAGGUUGUCCUGAUAGCUGUUUUAUUUAUUCCUCUUAUUUUUUUAUUUGAGUAAAUUUUCUUGUAAACUCCUUUGCAGAUUAAAGUUUAUUUUAGCAGGUAAUGCCUUGGUUGAAGCGGCUUUUCAAUAAGGAGGAGGAUGGAUUAAACUGCCCUCUUCUUAAUUGCUUUGUGAAGCCUUCCCUGCUCCUUAAUCUCACUGUAGUUUCUUAAGAAAUGAGGCACUUACAUAUCCCAAGGGCUUAAAUGGAGAUUUCUGCCACAGAGGGUAAAGUAGGGAGUUUGCUGCAUUAAUCAUCGAAUAACAUCAAUCAAGCAUCCACUUGGGCAGUUAAAUUUCUGUUGAACAAAGUACAGAAGUACCUGGGGAACAUCUCCCUCUUUGUAAGUGGUGUCAUGAGACAUCUGUCAUGAAGGCCUUGUAAAAAUAGAUUUUUAGAUGCAAACACAGUCAUCUUUACGCAGCACAAUGCUAGGCACAUAAUAAAUACUAUUUUACAAAAAAAGUAUAUGUAAAUACAUUAAAUUUCUAAAUAAAUCACUGCAUCAAUUCCUUAAACAAACUGGUAAUUACCUCCUUACUCUAAAGUUGUCUGCUUAUUACAUCAAGAAUUAUUGUUUUAAAUAUCACUUUUACUUCAGAAACAUUUUUAGAGAUUAUAAUUGGUCCAAGUUUUUGCUCAUAUAAAAAUCUGUGUUACUGAUUCAUGAUGAAUUGAAAGGUUUUUUUUUUUAAAAAAAACAAUUGAUUUCCUUCUCCCUAAUUUCCCUUUUUAAAAUUAUUGCACAUUCAUCUUAUCCUCACUAGCCUAGGGCACAUGUGGAUUUGCCUCAUAAUUUGUUUCUGCAGUCCAAAUCUGCUUCUGCCAUCUGCAAUGCCUCUCAGCCUCUCCUUCACCAUUCCAGAUCAAUUCCAUUCUGCUUUUAUUGUCACUUGUCCUUCCAGCCAAUUUUGUGGGAUGCAAGUACAGGCAGUGUACUUAACAGUACUAAAGUAUUGGAGAGUUUAAUUCUGUUUACUAGGAUUUUAUGUCAACUCUCUUAAUUGUCUUUGUUGAACUCUGAGCACAUUGGAUGGUAAAGGUGUUUUAUGACUUUCUCAUUCUCACUAAAACCAUCAGCAUCUACAAGAAACUUCAUGAUGUAGUUAAUCUCAAGGACUUAAUAACAUUGAACAUAAAGAUGAAAGUGACUUAAUUUAAAAGUAAAAAGAAAUAGAUUUUUGGGAAGAGUCAAUGAAGAAAAAGUGUCAAAUAUUUGCAAAUUAAUCUAAAAUUCUACCAAAAUUCAAAUCAAAAUCCCAGUUGUAGUGGAUUGAUAUUUUUCAUUGCUUUGUUCAAAUGCUUUCUAAAAUUCAUCUUGGGUGGUAAAUUACUAUUUAUAGGAGAUAAUUUUUAUUUUUGAUUUUUUAGGGGUAAUAUAUCAUACCAGUUAUUAUAUGCUAUUAAAGAACUCAAGUAAUAAUAUAGUAAUUGGUAAAGGAAAAGAUGUAUAAAGAUCAUUGGAGUAUAAUUGAGAAUUCAAAAAUGAUCUACAUAUAUAAAGACAACAUUUUGAAUCAGGAGGUAAAAGAUAGCAUAUUGAAGAGUGCAUUUGGUCAACCAAUUGGAAGAAGAAAAGUUUAGAACCCUACAUAUAGCAAAACAAACACCAAAUGAGUAGACAAUACCAAAGUCAGUCAAAUAAAAAUAAAAUAAUAAAUACAGGUACUGAUAGAUAUUAUAGGUAAAUAUUUCUUACAAUAGUUAAAAGAAGAGGACUUUCUAAAGUUGAUACCAAUGAGAGAAAAUAAAAAGGAACAAGAAUACUUAAAUUUUUUUCAAAAUUCUGCACAAAAGAUCAGAAAAAAAAUAAAUGAUGUGGAGACUAACAGAUCAGUACAAAGGAUCAGUGCAACCACGAGCUGGUCUUUUAAAAGAUAAAUAGACAAAACUUUAGCGAAGCUAACCAAAAGAAAGAGAAGACCCAAAUAAAUAAAUCAGAGGUGGGGCCAGGGUUGUGGCUCAGUGGUAGAACCCUCGCCGCGCACGUGUGAGACACUGGGUUCGAUCCUCAGCACCACAUAAAAAUAAAUGAGUGAAACAGAGGCAUUGUGUCCAACUAUAACUAAAAAAUAAAUAUUAAAAUAAAUAAAUAAAUCAGAGGUGAAAAGGGAGACAUUACAACAGCCACCACUAAAAUUCAAAGGAUCAUUAGGGAAUAUCCUGAAAAAUAUAUGGAAUAAUGUAAAUAAAUUAUAAAAUCUAGAAGAAAGGCCCAAAUUUCUGGAACAUAUGAUCUAUGAUCUAACACAAUCGAACCAAGAGGAUAUGAAAAACCAAAAAAGAUCAAUAACAAGUAGUGAAACUGUUAUUAAUUUAUCAGCUUUUGUGACUGAGGUGAGAUCAAAUCUCAAUUUAGUUUGAGCAAUAACAGAAAGCCUCCUAACCAAAAAAACAAAAAACAAAAACCUGGAUUCACUGAAGAAUUUUACCAGGCUUUUAAAGAAGAACUCAUACUGAUGCUUCUCCGUCCGUUCCAUCAAAUGGAAAAGGAAGGAACCUUCCCAAACUUAUUCUGCAAAGCCAACGUCAUCGUGCUACCAGUACCUGACACAGACACAAGAACAAAGAGAGACUCUGUGAUGAAUAUAAUGCAAAAACCACCAGUAAAAUACUUGCAAAUUAAAUUCAACAGCAUGUUAAAAAGAUCAUAUACCAUUAUCAAACUUGUUUUAUUCCAUCAAUGAAAGGACAGUUCAACAUAUGCAAAUCAAUAAACAUAAUUCAGCACAUAAAUAGACUCGAGGAUAAAAAUGACAGGAUCACCUCAACAGAUGCUAAAAGCUUUUGAUAAAACUCAAUAUCCCUUCAUGAUAAGAGCCCUGAAAAAAUUAGGUAUAGAAGGAUCAUGCCUCAACAUGAUAAAAGCUAUAAGAAAUCCAUAGCCAACAUCGUACUGAAUGGGGCUGGGAAAACUGGAUAGUCACACAUAGGAGAUUGAACCUAGACCCCUACCUCUCAUCCUAUGCAAAAAUCAAUUCAAAAUGUAUCAAAGAUAUUAAAGUAAGACUUGAAAAUAUUGGAAUAAAAUGCUCCAAGAUAUUGGCCCAGGCAAUAAUUUCCUGGAUAGGUCUCCAAUAGUCCAAGAAACAAAAACAACAAUUAACAAAUGGGUUUACAUCAAACUAAAAAGUGUCUGCAUAUGCUGGGCAUGGUGGCCCAUACCCAUAAUCCCAGAUACUCAUGAGACUGAGACAAGGUGAUCCCAAGUUCAGGCCAGCUUUGGACAAGACUGUGUCUCAAACUAUAGAUAAAUAAAGGCUGAGGUGUAGAUCAGUGGUACAGCACUUGUCUACAUGUAUGAAGCCUGGGUUCAAUUCUAAGUAUCACAAAAGAAAAAAAAUCUUUUGCACAGCAAAGGAAACUAUCAACAGAGUGAAGAGACAGCUCAUAGAGUGGGAGAAAAUCCUUGCCAGCCAAGCAUCUAGAAAAGGAUUAAUAUUCAUAAUAUAUAAGGAAAAAACUUAAUAAUAACAAAAAAUUAAAUAAUUCAAUUAAUAAAUGGGCAAAUGAUCUGAAUAGACUUCAUAAAAGAGGAAGAACAAAUGGCCAAUAAACAUGUGGAAAAAUGGUUGAUAUCUUUAGCCAUCAGGGAAAUGCGAUCAAAAGUAAAUUGAGAUUUGAUUUCACCUCAGUCACAAAAGCUGAUAAACUAAUAAUAAUGACAAGGGCUGAUGAAGGUUUAGAGAAACACAACCCUUACAUACAGUGUUGAUAUAAAUGUAAAUCACUACAGCAUUGUGGAAAACAGUACAGAGGGUCCUCAGAAAACUAAAAACAGAAAUACAGUGUAACCCACUUUACUACUCCUAGGUAUAUAUCUGAAGGAAAUGAAGUCAGUAUACAAAAGAGACACCUUCAUACCUGUGUUUAAUGAAGCAUUAUUCAUAAUAGCUGAGACACAGAAUCAGUCUAGGUGCCCAUCAGCAGAUGAAUGGAUAAAGAAGAAUGAAAUCCAGUAUUUACAGGAAAAUGGAUGGAACUGGAAGACAUUAUGUUAACCAAAAUAAAUUAGACACAAAAAGACAAGUGUCACAUGGUUUUUCAUAUGUAGAAAAAACAAUCCCCCCCCCACACACACACAUACACACACACAAAACCCUGUAAGUAGAAGAGGGACUACUAGGGGUUAGAGGGGUCAGAAGAAAGGGGAAGGGAAUGAGAGGGAAAGAACAAAGGGAGGGCAAACUUGAUUAAAACCCUACUUGUGCAUGCGUGAAACCCCACAGAUGAACCACCAGAUAAACACCAGAGAUAAAAUUGAUGUGUUAAAAAACUUUUAAGAAUAGGGCUGGGGUUGGGCUCAGUGGUAGAGCACUCGCCUUGCAUAUGCGAGACCCUGGGUUCGAUCCUCAGCACCACAUAAAAAUCAAUAAGUGAAAUAAAGGUAUUGUGUCCAACUACAACUAAAAAAAAUAAAUUAAAAAAAAGAAUUGAUGUGUUGAUAAUUAUAAUAAUGACAAAAAUGUCAUAAAGCAGAGCAAUGAACAAUGAACUGCGUGAAGAAAAUAUUUAAUAGUAAGAGACAAAAGGUCAAAUACUCAAUACAUAGUCUUUCAAAACCAGUUAGAAAAAAUGAAUGACGAUAUAAAAAUGAGCAAGGAGCUUAAAAAAUACACAAAUAGCAAAUAAACAUAUUUAAAAAAAUGUUUAGCCAUACUAGCUAUCAAAAAAUGCCAUCAUGGGGCUGGGGUUGUGGCUGAGUGGUAUCGCACUUGCCUAGUAUGCGUGAGGCACUUGGUUCAAUUCUCAGCACCACAUACAAAUAAAUAAGAUAAAGGUCCAUCAACAACUAAAAAAUAUUUUAAAAAAGAAAAAACUGUAAUCAUAUCUUUGUGACAAAAGCAGGAAAGAAUAAUAUCUAGGGUUAAGUGGGAAAGGAAAAGUGGAAACAUUUUAUACCCUCCUCAUGGAAGAGUGAAGUGGUAUAAUAUUAGGAAGUGAAAUUUGACAAUAAUCUCAAAAGUCUUUAGAAGAAUAUAUUCUUUCACUUCUAUGUUCCUUUUGAAGAAGUAGGGAAAUAUAUGCACGCAAGAGUGCUUACAGCAGGUGAUCACUAUAGCAAAAUACUUGGGAAAACAGACAUUAUCCAGGAGAAUCCCAAAUAACUUAAAUGAGGUAGAAAUCUAUUCCAUGGCUGUGUAAAUAAACGUAAGACUCCAUGGCAAACAUGGCAUUCUUGGGUCAACCACAACCCAGUGCCUCUGGCUUGGGUCCUCAUCUCUUCACCACAAGGAUCCAACCUUGUGGCCCAAGAUAUUAAUUUGAUCUCCAAGUGUCUCAUCCAUCACUGAAGGGGACUGGGGAAAAUAAAGGCACAUUUCUCUUUACGAAUGUCUCCUGAGGGACUGGGUUUGUGGCUCAGUGGCAGAGCGCUUGCCUCGAGCAUGUGAGGCACUGUGUUAAGGUCUAUAAACAAGUUAAGAUGGCGCCUGGCAUUUUGCAGAGGGAGUGGUUUCUGAAGUAACGCCAGCGAGCCCUUAAGUGUGGAGAUUCCUUAUUGGUUGACUGCUGUAUUUAGUUUAUGCUAAUUAGAUAAGCUGUGUGGAAUGUAUAUAUACCCCUCCUGUCCUACAAUAAACGGCUCCCACUCCUGCUGUAUCAAUGUACACAAGUUGCUCGUCACCCCCCCCCCACCACCCCACCCACCACCCCGGUUAUUUUGCUGCAGCCGGACUGCGGCAGCACUGAGUUCAAUCUGAAUAUUAUUGCAUUAAAUUUUUUAUUAACAAAGAUUAAUAAAAAAAAAGAAGAUUCCUGAAAGUUUCAUACCACAUUUCAAUUUAUCACAUGGCCACAACUAACUGCAAAGGAAUCUGGGAAAUAAGCCUAUUCCCAACAGCAUCUGCCAGCUCAAAACUGGAAAUCUUAUUACUAUGAAAUAAGGGAAGAAAGGAUAAAAGGAUGGCCAGCAGUCUCACCACAUAGCAUAGUGUUGACUGAAAUGGUUCAACAGCAAAUAAAUUAUGGUACAUUUGAGCAAUGAAAUACCAUACACUUGUUAAAUUGAUGAUCUGGAUCUAUAGUUAUUGAUAUGGAAAGAAAUGUACAAUAUAGUUUUAAAUGACAAAUGCAGUUUAUGAAAUUGCUUUUAUAGUGUGAUCUUAUCAUCUCUUAUUUAUCUAGCUGUCCUUUUAUCAUAUACUCUAUCACAAAGUGUUUUUUAGUUUCUGAGGUGAUAGAAUUUCUAAAAUAUAUUUUUAUUUUUAAAAUUCCUGCCUGUAUUGCAUUGUGAUGUGAAACAUGAACUGUACAUAAUGAAUGCUUUAUAUUUGUAGAUGUACUCAUUGUGACUAGAUUGUAAUCAAUUAUUUUUUUCCUAAUUAUUCAAGGAAAGAUUCCAUAUACAUUCAUUAGAAAGCACCAUUGAAGUGUGUUGUUGAAGACAUUUUAUAUUGCCUAAUUAUUUAUUGGCUUAAUAUAUUAGUUUAUGAGAAAUGUGUAUUAAAAAUAUCUACUAUGACUGGGUACUUAACAAUUCCUUUUUUUAAUCAUUGUUUGUGUAUUUUUGAGGCCAUGUUAUUGGGUUAUGCAAGUUUGGGAUUGUUAUGUUUUCUUGCUAAUUUUUCUUCUUAUGAUUAAACAAUGUCCCUUUAUAUACUGAAUAUUAUUGCAUUAAAUUAUAUUUAAUAUAAUUAAUAUUGUAUUAACAUGUUUAUUUGCUUAGUAUUUACCUGGAAUUUUAAGGGCUAUAGGUAGAAUUUGUAUUUCAAUUCAGAUAAUCUCUAUGUUGUAACAGGUGAAUACAAUGUUCACCUUUAUUAGAAUUGUUGAUUUUGAACUUCUUUCUACCAUGUUAUUUUCUGUUUUUUAUUUACCAUACUUUUUUUUCUUAUUAUUUGGGAGAGGUUUUUUCCCUGAUAUCUACUUCAAGUUGUUACCUUUUUUGGUCCUUCGGGUAUUUUGGAAGAGUUUUAUUUUGGAGAUUUCCCAAGUUUCAAAUAUACCUCACUUAUAUUUAAAAAGACUAAAAUUAAACAAUCAUUCUAUUCUCUGUUCUCCCAUGCUUUAUUGUAGAGUUUGUUUCUCCUACUCUUAAAAAUGUCCCCAAGUGAGCCUUUAUUAUAAGGGUUAUAGAAUAUAUCAUAUCUAGUAUUUCUCUUCCUUUUUAAAAUUCAGAAUCAAUGUGGGAAAAGAAAUGUGGGAAGGAGUAGAAAAUAUCUAAGGUAUUGAAAAUUAAAAUACAAUAUUGGCUUUAUUUCAGAUAAGUCUGACUGGAGAAAGAGCUUUUAGAUCUGUGGACAGAUGGGCUUGCUGAUACUUCGCUCUUGAGUUACAUGGACUUAGUCCUGCUGUGGCACCGAGGAAAGGAUAAAGUCUCCUCAGUGAGCUGCUGCUUACACCUCACCCAGGUCAGACAAGAGCCCAGGAACAGGCAGAGGUAACGGAGAGGGAAGACCAGGGCAGAGCCAACCAGUGGAAGUCCUUCUGCUUCACUUUUCCAUGGCCCUGCCUUGCAGAGGAAAAGUUAAGGUAAAUCAUUGUUCUUCUAUUAUUGCUGUCUUAUUAGUGCCUUUCCUCUGUCAUCCCUGGCCCAGCCCAACUUGCCACAAUGAAUGUUGCAGCUUCAGAAACCGUAAUUUGUGUGGAUCCUUUCAAAAUCUAGGAAGGAGCAACAGUCACGGGAGAGUUAGAGGAGUGGAGUCCUACCAGCCAGAGUCACUCUUCUUGCAGGUACCAAUCUCCCAACACCCUGCAGCUCUAGGACCACCAGUUCCCAUGGAGAACCUGCCUUUGGGGGACCCCAUGGAACAUCAGCAUCUUCCUCGAGGAGAAGAAUCCGUCUGGUGCAUGGCUCUACUCCCAGUCACGGGCCAUGUGACUUGGCUCUACUGUGCCCUUGGCACACCUUACUGCUGGGAACAGCUCUGGCAAGGUAGGGGUGGGAGGGAUGUUGGGUGCAGUGAAAUCCAGUCAACCUUGACCAACUUGCCCUGACGGUAAGAUCAAAGGGCUGGAGUUAUCGGAGGACUCUCCCACCACGACCAGUAGUGAAUUGAGAAGCUAAAAUAAACUUUUCUCCAUUAUGACUGAUAAUUUUUUUUUUAACCAAGCGGAUUAAACUGGGCUAAAAGACUAAUUUAUGUUUAGAAGACUGAUUGAUCUUUCUACUUUCUUUGUAGAAGACCAUACUCAGAAGUCAUUAUCACAGUAAGAGAUCAAACAUGUGGCCAAAGAAUGUAGGGAACAAAAUAUAUUUGAGGAUAUAUAUAAAUUAUGAUGAAAAUAAUUAAAGAUUAUAUUACAUUUCAGGAUUUUGUAGUAUUUAACUUCAAGUUUUAUCUGUUGUGAUUUCUAUUAUCUUGCUGAGUAAACCUAAACUUUUGUACCUAAUUAUCUAUUAGUAACUUGGUACUUUUCGUUUCAAGUAGUUUCUCCAAUUAUUUUUUUUAAAAUAUUUAUUCUUUAGUUGUAGUUGGACACAAUGCCUUUAUUUUGUUUUUUAUUUUUAUGUGGUACUGAGGAUCAAACCAGGGCUUGCAUGUGCUAGGCAAGCACUCAACCACUGAGCCACAACCCCAGCCCUGGUCUCCACGAUUAUUAAAGCUUAACUUCCUACAAAAGUUGGACCUGACUCUGUUGCGUGUUUUUUUUUGUUUUGUUUUGUUUUGUUUUUGUUUAGUUACUUCUGGGAUGUGUCAUUGCAACAGAGAAAUGGAGUUGUUUCUUUGAAGGCAAACUCUCUCUUCUCCUUGUCUUGGGUGCUCUGCAGUCUCACUCUACAUGACUUAGGUUUGAAGUUGUUUUUAUCUAACCCCCAAGGGUCUAGGUGUACUUCCACAGUCUGAGGAUUUAUGCACUUUUUCCAAUCUUGAAUAGUGUCACUCCUUCUAUUUUUUAAAUUGUUUUUUUUUAAAUAAAUAUGGGACAGAUGUAAAAUAAAUACUUAGAUAUUUUUAAAAUAUCUAAGAUAUAAAAGAUAAUGGGGAAAAAACUCCAAAAAGGUGUAAUAAUACACCUGUGUCCUCACCACGGAGCGUAGGAAAAGGACAAAGAGAGCAACAUUCCCACUUUGACACCCCUUGUGACUCACUCCCCCCACCUGUUUCCACUAUUAUCUUAAACUUGAUAUUUAGCAUUUGUCUUUUUUGUAGUUUCACAAAGAAAAUAUACUGUUGUGUAUGUUUUUAAACUAUGCAUCAUUGACCUAAUGCUAGAUCUGUUCUUCAAUUUGUUUCUUCCACUCAAAAUUAUGUUUCAGAGAUUUCUUUAUAUGGUUGAACUCAGCUAUAAUUUACUCAUCCUCACUCCUGUAUACUAUUCCAUCAACUCUCUCUUCUAUAUUCUGUUAGUGGAUGCUGAUUUGCUUCUGUUUUUUUUUUUUUUUUUCCUAGUGGG
rnacentral:lncRNA from 1 species